rnacentral:rRNA from 1 species
GUGUCAGCCGCCGCGGUAAUACGGAGGGGGCUAGCGUUGUUCGGAAUUACUGGGCGUAAAGCGCACGUAGGCGGCUUUGUAAGUUAGAGGUGAAAGCCCGGAGCUCAACUCCGGAACUGCCUUUAAGACUGCAUCGCUUGAACGUCGGAGAGGUAAGUGGAAUUCCGAGUGUAGAGGUGAAAUUCGUAGAUAUUCGGAAGAACACCAGUGGCGAAGGCGACUUACUGGACGACUGUUGACGCUGAGGUGCGAAAGCGUGGGGAGCAAACAGGAUUAGAUACCCCGGUAGUCC